rnacentral:rRNA from 1 species
UCGAGGAUCUUCGGCAAUGGGCGCAAGCCUGACCGAGCGACGCCGCGUGCGCGAUGAAGGCCUUCGGGUUGUAAAGCGCUGUCGAGGGGAAGAAAGCCCGCAAGGGUUGAUCGACCCCUGGAGGAAGCACGGGCUAAGUUCGUGCCAGCAGCCGCGGUAAGACGAACCGUGCGAACGUUGUUCGGAUUCACUGGGCUUAAAGGGCGCGUAGGCGGACCACCAAGUCUGGGGUGAAAUCCCCCGGCUCAACCGGGGAAUUGCUUGAGAUACUGGUGGUCUCGAGGAAGGUAGGGGUGUGCGGAACUUCCGGUGGAGCGGUGAAAUGCGUAGAUAUCGGAAGGAACGCCGGUGGCGAAAGCGGCGCACUGGACCUUUUCUGACGCUGAGGCGCGAAAGCCAGGGGAGCGAACGGGAUUAGAUACCCCGGUAGUCC